rnacentral:rRNA from 1 species
CGUGGAGCGAUUUGUCUGGUUUAUUCCGAUAACGAGCGAGACUCUAGCCUAUUAAAUAGUCUACACAUUGCUAUUGUGAUGUAGUACUUCUUAGAGGGAUUUUCGGUGUACAGCCGCACGAGAUUGAGCAAUAACAGGUCUGUGAUGCCCUUAGAUGUCCGGGGCUGCACGCGCGCUACACUGGCGAAAUCAGCGUGCUUUUCCUCUCUCGAAAGGGAUUGGUAAACUGUUGAAAAUUUGCCGUGAUUGGGAUCGGAAAUUGCAAUUAUUUUCCGUGAACGAGGAAUUCCAAGUAAAUGCGAGUCAUCAACUCGCGUUGAAUACGUCCCUGCCCUUUGUAC